rnacentral:misc_RNA from 1 species
CGAUGUUGACAACGGCCACCUUCUUCCAGUCGUUCCUAAUGUUGGCGAGGACUCCAGCCUUGCAGGAGUCACAGUCAUAGCAGAGGCCGGAUGGAUCGUUUUGCCAUGUAUUGCAGUCAGGAAUGUCGGAGGUAAAACCAGGUGGCUUCGUCCAGACGGUUGCAUCCACGAAAGUGAAAUUGCACCCAGUGGGGGGCUUGCAGCAUCCAGACUGAAUCGGCGACAAAUUAUCAUUGACGAACUCCGCAAACGUCCGGUUCUCCGCCUGCAGACUCUUGCACACCUUGCUAUCCAUCAAGCAAGACCGAAUCUUCCUCCAGUUCUUCCCACUCUCCACCCUCUUCUGGAGCCAGUGGUUGUAAUCCCCAAGCCUGUACUCCUUAUAACCCCUCCCGGACACCACCUUUCCAGCCCCCUUGUUGGUCACCACAAACGUGAAGACGGUGAAGCAGAAGAGGAGGACGAUGAGGAGGAACAUGACGCAGAGGUAGACCCAGAGCAACCAGUUGACGCGGCAGCAGGCGCCGGCGAGGCCGGCGAGGGAGAUGACCAUGAGGAAGACGCCGAUGGCGAUGACGGGGCCUUGGAGGAACUUCUCGCAGUCGGUGGAGCCGCGGUGGGCGAGCCAGAUGCCGCCGCCGAGGAUGGGGAUGGAGAGGAGGAAGGUGACGAAAUUGAGGAGGCCGACGAGGUUGUUGGAGAGGCGGAACGCCAUUGCUG